rnacentral:rRNA from 1 species
CAGUCGCCGCGGGAAUACGUAGGUGGCAAGCGUUGUCCGGAAUUAUUGGGCGUAAAGGGCUCGCAGGCGGUUUCUUAAGUCUGAUGUGAAAGCCCCCGGCUCAACCGGGGAGGGUCAUUGGAAACUGGGAAACUUGAGUGCAGAAGAGGAGAGUGGAAUUCCACGUGUAGCGGUGAAAUGCGUAGAGAUGUGGAGGAACACCAGAGGCGAAGGCGACUCUCUGGUCUGUAACUGACGCUGAGGAGCGAAAGCGUGGGGAGCGAACAGGAUUAGAUACCCCAGUAGUCCCUGUCUCUUAUAC